UACGAAGGGGGCGAGCGUUGUUCGGAUUUACUGGGCGUAAAGGGCGCGCAGGCGGCCUUAGUAGUCAGGCGUGAAAGCCCCGGGCUUAACCUGGGAAUUGCGCUUGAUACUCUGAGGCUAGAGUACGGGAGAGGAGAGUGGAAUUCCCAGUGUAGAGGUGAAAUUCGUAGAUAUUGGGAAGAACACCGGUGGCGAAGGCGGCUCUCUGGACCGUAACUGACGCUGAGGCGCGAAAGCGUGGGGAG
rnacentral:rRNA from 1 species